ensembl:lncRNA
CCCCCCCGUAGACUAUUUUCCCAAAACUGAUCAUCCACACGAAUGUAAUGAAAACGCUUGCAUAACACAAGACACUUUCACCUGUGGUGUUUUUUUACUUGCCGUCUCUUUGAAUUGAUGCGGGAAAAACCGAAUAGCAAUUGCAAGUGAACAUUCCGUCCAUUUGGACCAAUACGUCCAUCUACAACAGCGCUAUCAAACUGGAUAGCAGCAGGCACAAUUGCAGUACAUCAACAACCAUCUUGUUUUUGAGUUGAAUGGGUCACAUGACUAAAAAUGUGAUUGCUUGUUUGUUUUUAAAUAUCUCCAUUUUCACGGUUCACACUACAACUCAAAAACGGCAUUUUCAAAUUUGUCCACUUGGGAGAGUGUUUCUGUUUUCGUCGGAUAAAAAUGUAUUUUACGCUACAUUUUUGGUGUACUCUCACAUAUAACAUUUAGUCAUGCUGUUUGUUGCAGAAUAACUGAUUUUGGUGUGUGUGUGUGUGUGGGUUUGUUUUCUGCAGCCACAGCACCUGUUAGGAGGCCCUUUUGAACCAGUGUCUGCUUCAGUGAUGUUUUGACCCCAUGAGCCACACCAGUGUCACUGAGCCGUCUGAACUCUGACUGAUGAGGUCACCUGACAAGCCUGGGUUUUGCUGCAGCGUAAAGCAGGGACUUUGAAAUCUCUGACUUUCAUCUGUGUCUGUAUUGUAGAGCACAUAUAUAAUACAGUAUAUAUACAGUAUACUGGGUGUUUUUUGGGAACUGCAUGAUAAGCAUCAGUGGGAGGGCAGAGGACUUUGGAAACAGGGCCAAAUGUGACAGGGCUAUUAAUAUCUAUUUUCUUAGAGGGGGAACUACAUCAUGUAUGAGCAGGAUUUCUGCGAACUGUAAAAUGCUGACGGUGCUCAGUUGUACAUCCCCAGGAUUUCUUUUUAACAUUUUAUGUUUGAUAUCUACUUUUAAAGUGAUAAUAGCCAUUACGGAGGUUGGAAGCCUGGACCAUCUAACUUUUGCUUUUCUUCUGUUUUUUUUAAGACUACAGUAUGUAUUGCGCCCCCCCCCCCCCCCCCCCCCCCUUACUCAUAAUAGUAUAUUUAUUAAAAUGUUUAAUUACAAAGAUGGAUGCAUAUUGAAUUUUUAUGUUCCAUUGGCCUUUUUGCUUUUUGUGACAGUAUGCAUUGUUUCUGAAAUGGAGCAUUAAUGACGCCUUAAAUGAUUACAGUUUCAAACUUGUGUGUGGA